rnacentral:piRNA from 1 species
UGUGCAGUAUCAAGAAAACAGUCUUG